rnacentral:lncRNA from 1 species
GAGUUAGUUGUUGACGUCGCAGAUGCGGACGAUGUCCACGAGGGCUAGCUCUACAAGACGCAAGGCGACUUCAAACGAGCUCUCAAAGCAUACGCAAUGAAAAGAGGUUUUGAGUACGCACGGACGAAAUGCAACGACCAUAAGAUAACCGCACGAUGCCGUGUCUCAGAUUGUCCUUGGAGAAUAAAGGCGCGUCAAGUACUAGGAAUUGCUCAAU